rnacentral:rRNA from 1 species
UGGUAGUNCACGCCCUAAACGAUGUCUACUAGUUGUCGGGGAUUAAUUUCCUUGGUAACGCAGCUAACGCGUGAAGUAGACCGCCUGGGGAGUACGGUCGCAAGAUUAAAACUCAAAGGAAUUGACGGGGACCCGCACAAGCGGUGGAUGAUGUGGAUUAAUUCGAUGCAACGCGAAAAACCUUACCUACGCUUGACAUGUCCGGAACCCUGAAGAGAUUUGGGGGUGCUCGAAAGUGAGCCGGAACACAGGUGCUGCAUGGCUGUCGUCAGCUCGUGUCGUGAGAUGUUGGGUUAAGUCCCGCAACGAGCGCAACCCUUAUCAUUAGUUGCUACGCAAGGGCACUCUAAUGAGACUGCCGGUGACAAACCGGAGGAAGGUGGGGAUGACGUCAAGUCCUCAUGGCCCUUAUGUGUAGGGCUUCACACGUCAUACAAUGGUCGGUACAGAGGGUUGCGAAGCCGCGAGGUGGAGCCAAUCCCAAAAAACCGAUCGUAGUCCGGAUUGCAGUCUGCAANU